UAUAUUUCCACGUUCCACAAAAUCCCAAGAAGCUUUGGUACAAUUGUCAUGAUAAAUUUCCCUUGCCUCGCAGGCAAUUUCGACACUUCUUCGAAGUAAUGAUUCUGCUUCUUCUGUGGAUAACCCUUUGGCCUCAAAACCCUGAAUAGUAGCCUGAUAAGAUGCUGUUAAUAUGAUAUUUGCCCCAGCGUCAAGAUAAUCGAGGUGUACCCUUCGGACGAGAUGAGGGGAGCUGAUAAGGCAUUUGGCGCUCCAUAGAGGGUCGUUGAGGUCAGCACCGUGUCGUUCGAGUUCAGUGGCAAAGCCGCCAUCAACUAAGGCGUAGCCACCGCACUUCUGGACGAAAUCU
rnacentral:misc_RNA from 1 species